rnacentral:rRNA from 1 species
AGUGAACGCUGGCGGUAGGCCUAACACAUGCAAGUCGAACGGCAGCACAGGAGAGCUUGCUCUCUGGGUGGCGAGUGGCGGACGGGUGAGGAAUACAUCGGAAUCUACUCUGUCGUGGGGGAUAACGUAGGGACACUUACGCUAAUACCGCAUACGGCCUACGGGUGAAAGGAGGGGACCUUCGGGCCUUGCGCGAUUGAAUGAGCCGAUGUCGGAUUAGCUAGUUGGCGGGGUAAAGGCCCACCAAGGCGACGAUCCGUAGCUGGUCUGAGAGGAUGAUCAGCCACACUGGAACUGAGACACGGUCCAGACUCCUACGGGAGGCAGCAGUGGGGAAUAUUGGACAAUGGGCGCAAGCCUGAUCCAGCCAUACCGCGUGGGUGAAGAAGGCCUUCGGGUUGUAAAGCCCUUUUGUUGGGAAAGAAAUCCAGCUGGCUAAUACCCGGUUGGGAUGACGGUACCCAAAGAAUAAGCACCGGCUAACUUCGUGCCAGCAGCCGCGGUAA